GUGUGUUCCAGGUAAAUCCGGUUCACUUUAACACUGAGGCGUGAUGACGAGGCACUACGGUGCUGAAGCAACAAAUGCCCUGCUUCCAGGAAAAGCCUCUAAGCAUCAGGUAACAUCAAAUCGUACCCCAAACCGACACAGGUGGUCAGGUAGAGAAUACCAAGGCGCUUGAGAGAACUCGGGUGAAGGAACUAGGCAAAAUGGUGCCGUAACUUCGGGAGAAGGCACGCUGACAC
rnacentral:rRNA from 2 species